rnacentral:rRNA from 1 species
UGGGGAAUCUUGCACAAUGGGCGAAAGCCUGAUGCAGCAACGCCGCGUGCGGGAAGAAGGCCCUAGGGUUGUAAACCGCUUUCAGCAGGGAAGAAAAUGACGGUACCUGUAGAAGAAGGUGCGGCCAACUACGUGCCAGCAGCCGCGGUGACACGUAGGCACCAAGCGUUGUCCGGAUUUAUUGGGCGUAAAGAGCUCGUAGGCGGUUCGGUAAGUCGGGUGUGAAAACUCUGGGCUCAACCCAGAGCCGCCACCCGAUACUGCUGUGACUCGAGUGCGGUAGGGGAGCGGGGAAUUCCUGGUGUAGCGGUGAAAUGCGCAGAUAUCAGGAGGAACACCAGUGGCGAAGGCGCCGCUCUGGGCCGUGACUGACGCUGAGGAGCGAAAGCGUGGGUAGCAAACAGGAUUAGAUACCCUGGUAGUCCACGCCGUAAACGUUGGGCACUAGGUGUGGGUCUCAACCAACGAGAUCCGCGCCGUCGCUAACGCAUUAAGUGCCCCGCCUGGGGAGUACGGCCGCACGGCUAA